rnacentral:rRNA from 1 species
UUGACGGGACCCCGCACAAGCAGCGGAGCGGUGUGGUUUAAUUCGUUGCUACACGAAGAACUUACCUGGGUUUGACAUUAUAGGUUGUAGGGAACUGAAAGGGACCGACCCUUCGGGGAGCCUAUACAGGUGUUGCAUGGCUGUCGUCAGCUCGUGUCGUGAGAUGUUCGGCUAAGUCCGCUAACGAGCGCAACCCUCGUCGUAUGUUAUAUGUGUCAUACGAGACUGCCGGUAAAAGCCGGAGGAAGGUGAGGAUGAUGUCAAGUCAGCAUGACCUUUAUAUCCAGGGCUACACACACGCUACAAUGGUCUGUACAAUGGGUAGCCAAGCCGCGAGGCGGAGCCAAUCCUGAAAGCAGGCCUCAGUUCAGGUUGCAGUCUGCAACUCGACUGCAUGAAGCCGGAGUUGCUAGUAACCGCAGGUCAGCAAUACUGCGGUGAAUACGUUCCCGGGUCUU